rnacentral:piRNA from 1 species
UAUCUGGAUGGAGUCUAUUUGGUC